rnacentral:rRNA from 1 species
UACGUAGGGUGCAAGCGUUGUCCGGAAUUAUUGGGCGUAAAGAGCUCGUAGGCGGUUUGUCGCGUCUGCUGUGAAAUCCCGAGGCUCAACUUCGGGCUUGCAGUCGAUACGGGCAGGCUAGAGUUCGGUAGGGGAGACUGGAAUUCCUGGUGUAGCGGUGAAAUGCGUAGAUAUCGGGAGGAACACCAGUGGCGAAGGCGAUCACCUGGGGUUGUUCUGACGCUGAGGAGCGAAAAGCUAGGGGGAGCAAACGGGG